rnacentral:tRNA from 1 species
UCCGGAGUAGCUCAGCGGUAGAGCGAUGCACUGUUAAUGCAUUGGUCGCUGGUUCGAUCCCAGCCUCCGGAG